UACGUAGGUGGCGAGCGUUGUCCGGAUUUACUGGGCGUAAAGGGAGCGUAGGCGGACUUUUAAGUGAGAUGUGAAAUACUCGGGCUCAACUUGAGUGCUGCAUUUCAAACUGGAAGUCUAGAGUGCAGGAGAGGAGAAUGGAAUUCCUAGUGUAGCGGUGAAAUGCGUAGAGAUUAGGAAGAACACCAGUGGCGAAGGCGAUUCUCUGGACUGUAACUGGCGCUGAGGCUCGAAAGCGUGGGGAGCAAACAGG
rnacentral:rRNA from 1 species